rnacentral:rRNA from 1 species
GACGAACGCUGGCGGCGUGCUUACACAUGCAAGUCGAACGAAAAUACCAAGCUUGCUUGGUUGAUUAGUGGCGAACGGGUGAGUAACACGUGAGUAACCUGCCCCUUACUUUCCUGGAUAACUGCUCGAAAGGGUAGCUAAUACGGGAUAUUCUGACCAGCCUGCAUGGGUUGGUUUGGAAAGGUUGUUUUUCUGGUAAGGGAUGGGCUCGCGGCCUAUCAGCUUGUUGGUGGGGUGAUGGCCUACCAAGGCUUUGACGGGUAGCCGGCCUGAGAGGGUGGACGGUCACACUGGGACUGAGAUACGGCCCAGACUCCUACGGGAGGCAGCAGUGGGGAAUAUUGCACAAUGGGCGCAAGCCUGAUGCAGCGACGCCGCGUGAGGGAGGAAGGCCUUCGGGUUGUAAACCUCUUUCGUCAGGGAACAAGGCACUGCUUUUGUGGUGGUGUUGAGGGUACCUGGAUAAGAAGCGCCGGCUAACUACGUG